rnacentral:rRNA from 1 species
UACGGGGGGAGCAAGCGUUGUUCGGAUUUACUGGGCGUAAAGGGCGCGUAGGCGGUCAGCACAAGUCAGUUGUGAAAUCUCCGAGCUUAACUCGGAAAGGUCAACUGAUACUGUGCGACUAGAGUGCAGAAGGGGCAACUGGAAUUCUCGGUGUAGCGGUGAAAUGCGUAGAUAUCAGGAAGAACACCCGUGGCGAAGGCGGCUCUCUGGGACGGUACUGACGCUGAGACGCGAAAGCGUGGGGAGCGAACAGG